UGUGUUUGUAGCUUAAUUAGGAUAAAGCGUUAAACUACGAAUUUAAAGAGUGGAAGUUCAAUUCUUCCCAAACACGA
rnacentral:tRNA from 1 species